rnacentral:piRNA from 1 species
CGGGACUCUUGGUCUUUGAAGUUUGACAGC